CGCUAAGCUUAGCCAUGUUGCCGGUGCUGGUCGCGCUGGUGGCUUUCAUGCUCGGUCACUUCGUGAGCAUUGACGCGUAUACUGAGGAGUGCUUCCCGGCCGGCACCAAGAUGGGGCUUAUCUUCGAGAUUAUAAGACCUGAUAAUCAAGUGAUUUACAAAGUUGAAAGAGAAUCCGAUGGAAACUACACAUUUACUGCUCACAUGAAUGGAACUUACAAGUUUUGCUUCAGCAACAAAAUCGGAGUUACCCUGAUUCCUAAGAUAGUGAACUUCACUAUUGAUAUUGGAAAAGCUCCACAAGAGCAAGACGCAGAGACAGAAGGUAAUUCUCCUCAAGCGCCUUCACUCACCACUAAGAAUCCCCUUUGGAUUCUGAGGAACCCUCUUGCAUUCAGUCCAACGCCAGGUAAUUCUCCCAAAGCGCCUUUGCUCACCACUAAAAAUCCCUGUCAGACGCAGAGGAACCCUCUUGCAUUCAGUUUCACACCAGGUAACUCUCCCAGAGCACCUUCAGUUACCACUAAGAAUCCCCUUUGGAUGCUGAGGAACCGUUUUGCAUUCAGUCUCACGCCAGGUAAGUCAGAUCUUCCCUCUUCUACUUGCUGCCAUCUUGGUCUGGCCAGGUAGACACUGCAGCUCCGUGCAGUUGUAAGAGACUCACUCCUGCCUGCUUCCCUUCUCUGGGGAAAACGCAUACCUGCCCGAUCCACCAUUCAACUCUCCUCGCUGCUUGAGCCUAUCAGCAUAACUUCUGGUCUGCCACUUUUCCACGCUACAGCUGGCCCUGGUAACUAGUCUGGAGCUCCAAACCGUGCCUUGUUACUUCCUAGUUGGUGGAUAAGAAAAUACUUCAGCCCUGUCUUGGGUAAACAUCUAGGUAAUAAUUUGAAGAAGACAGUCCAGGUAAAGAACUUGUAUACGGGCAGGAUCAGGGCCCAUCUCUUAAGUGAGUGUUUCUGGAUGAGACCAUUUCUGUUGCUGGGUCCUGGUGGGUAGUAGUUUAGUGGAUGUGCAGCGUCAGAACCCAAGUGCCAUAGUGGGUCAGACCAAUGGUCCAUCUAGCCCAGUAUCCCAUCUCUGACAGUGACAGAAAUAGAUGCUUUAGAGGGAGAGUAUUGAACCCGAUUCUGUAGAGUGAUCAAUCCCCUAUCAUCUGUGAAUUUAUCCAGUCCUUCUUUGAACCUGGCUAUGCUACCUGCCUCCACCUCCUGUGACAAUGAAUUCCGUAAGUUAACCAUGUAUUGCCUGAAAAAGUUAUCAAGUAUUUGCCACUACUAUUUGUGUUAGCACAGGAGGCGUUGGAUGAGAAGUAAGAGCCCUAGGCAUGAAUUAGAAUUUCAGUGUGCUGGGGACUAUUAAUAGCACAGAGCAAGAUGGUCCCUAUGCCAAACAGCCAACUUUCUCUGACAAGACAAUGAGAUAUAGUGGGUUAUGGUAUCAGAACACCACCUGCUUAAUUGCUGCUGUCAAUUUUUUUAGGUUCCAGUUUUGUACCAGGAGGCACAAAGGCAUCUGUGGCAGUCAGUGAUGACUAGAAAAUGAUAGAGAUUAGUUUUUAGGAACUAGCUUGUAGCUAGAGUAGAUAUUGCAUUGGAACAGUGGUUCAGGCUUAAUUGGCAAAGGUUAAUUGGUUUCUAAAAGCCUGUUUGUGACACAGUUUCAUAGCCUUCAGGGCAGAUACUGUGUCCGAGGGCCAAUGGACAAGCGGGUAUACGCAUCCUGGGAAUUUUAAGAACAUCCAAACUGUUCCAUAACAAAAGAUAGGCUUGCUGCAUUGGCGCCAAGGUAUAGUGCCCAGCUAUAAAACCCCUGGGAAUUCUGGUUUUGGUGGAUUUACCAAACUAGGCUGGGGUUGCCCAAAUUAAGACACGGGUAAAUGACCAAAUUAAGGUUGUAUGCAUAUGAUGGGUUUGUGGAACCAAAUAAUUAUACUGGCAGAACAGAACGUGGAUAGUAUGACGACCACAGGGAAACCAACUGACGAUACCCAGAAAUGAAGAGUCAUCAGAGGAGAGAGAAUACAGAAGGAGUGAUCCUGAGGCCGCCAUGUGCAGAUGGCACACCACUAGCCCGUUUCACCCACCCCAUUGUGGGGAGUGGUCAUCAGCCUUCGACCUCUAGGCUGCUGAUAUCUGGCAUACUUCAAGCUAAAACCACAGGGUAGUGUUUGUGUAUUAGCCAGAUAUACUUUACUUUUCCUCUGUGACAUCCUCAGGACUGGUAGAUAAGUAGAACUAGGGUGGGGGUGUAUUUUGUUUGUUUUGCCUACACUACUCUUAUCUGCUAUCACUGUGUAUCAAUAAAAUUCGCCUAUUAUUGAAUGGAAGAAGUUGUAGUUGGUCUGAGGCUUUGGGUCUGCCCAGAAUAAGAUAUCAGGACUGGGUCAUAAAUCCACUGUCAACAGUCAUGAGGUCUUUAUGCAUACUAGAACAUUGGGUCUCAACCUUUCUGGACUUGUGCAAUGAGAGAUGCCCCCUUGAGAUACCAUCCAUGGCUUUUGUGAACUGAGUAGCACCCAGUUUCAAAAACUGAUUUAUACAUUACAAUCAAUGCUCAUCUACUCGCAGAGUAGGCAGGCAGGCCUGGGUUCAUUGACUUAGUUUCUCUUUAUCUCCUUACGCCUUGUUUAUCGCCUCACAUCUUGGGGGACUCUUAAGAGGUUUUGUUGGCAUCCAAGGGUGCCCCGACCCCCUGGUUGAAAAUGCUUUCCUUCUCUUGCUGAAUUAAUCCAUGCUUUUUUAUUCCCUUUUGGGUCUAAGCUGUCAAAUACCACAACAUAAUGCCCUGAGUAAUCUUACUAACGUUAGCAGUAAGAAUCUAAUCUAAUCUGGAGGUAAUUUUCUCUUCAUUUUCUCAAUUAUAUGGAUGUGUGCACAUAACAGCAGAUUUGUUAAUACAUUUUUUUUAGCUUCCAACUGUGUGAACAUUAUUUACAGUGCCCCUAAUAGUGUAUCGAAAGCUUUAGGCCUUAAACCAAACAUCACACUGCCACUUAUUUCUUACACUUCAUGGUAAAAGGGUGGGGCAAAAACAAUGGGAUAGGAUUAAGGGUGGAGGGAAAAGAGUUUAAAAGAAAGGGUGUGAGUUACUGCUUCUAGAUGAUAGUCAGCAUUUUAUGUGCAUGUAUGAUCAGCCUGAGAGGAAUAGACAGCUUGAAGUCUAGUGGCAUGUCUGUCCAAACCACUUAUCCAAGCUCAUCAGGAAGGUAUUUUCAGAUGGAGUAGGAGCAUAGAGGGUUUUUGCUUUCCUCAGUACUAUGGGAAAUUAUUUGCACUCUUUUCUUCCCCAGUUCUUUACCUGUAGGCCAUCAGAACUGGGGGUUUGGGGGUACUUUGAGACUGCAUUACAUCAAAAGAGCUGCAGCAGAUGUUCCUGGGGACUCUUUGGGACUAAUAGUUACCUGUGGAUGCAAGAGCCUGGACUCAAUGGCCUGGGAGGCCUCUUCCACUCUUUUGUCCCCAUGAUUUACAUCCAAACGCUGCAAGGUCUGGACAUAAAUGAAGUCUGAUAAGCAAAUAAACUGAUUCA